AGUUGAACGAAGCAAAGGACAGGGUUUGU
rnacentral:piRNA from 1 species